CUCGGAGUUUGAUCCUGGCUCAGGAUGAACGCUAGCGGCAGGCUUAACACAUGCAAGUCGAGGGGUAGGAGCAGCUUGCUGCUUUGAGACCGGCGCACGGGUGCGUAACGCGUAUACAAUCUACCUUUUACAGAGGGAUAGCCCAGAGAAAUUUGGAUUAAUACCUCAUAGUGUUAUUGAAUGGCAUCAUUUAUUAACUAAAGUUCCAACGGUAAAAGAUGAGCAUGCGUCCCAUUAGCUAGAUGGUAAGGUAACGGCUUACCAUGG
rnacentral:rRNA from 1 species